CAUUGAUCGCCUUGACUCCUGACUGUACCGAAAACACCAACAGCACAUUUCUGAGGAUUUGGAAACAUCUGACGCAGCGGUUACACUUUGGAGCUUCUGUGUGACUGUGAUCCCCUUCCGCCUGCUCUGGGGGGGAUUUAGCGGUUUUCUACCCAAGAGCAUCCUGGCGGUGGAAAAUCACGUUAAGCAUGCUGCGGUUACUCACAUAGGUGGACUGUUCUCUCCGCCAGUGUCCCAGACCACAGCAAUACAUCAAGAGAACAUCCAGGGGGGUCG